rnacentral:rRNA from 1 species
UACAGAGGUCUCAAGCGUUGUUCGGAAUCAUUGGGCGUAAAGAGCGUGUAGGCGGCCCGAUAAGUCCGCCGUGAAAGUCCAGGGCUCAACCCUGGAAUGCCGGUGGAAACUGUCGGGCUGGAGUCCGGAAGAGGAGAAUGGAAUUCCUGGUGUAGCGGUGAAAUGCGCAGAUAUCAGGAAGAACACCCGUGGCGAAGGCGGUUCUCUGGGACGGUACUGACGCUGAGACGCGAAAGCGUGGGGAGCGAACAGG